UACAGAGGUCUCAAGCGUUGUUCGGAUUCAUUGGGCGUAAAGGGUGCGUAGGUGGCGCGAUAAGUCGGGUGUGAAAUCUCGGAGCUUAACUCCGAAAUUGCAUUCGAUACUGCCGUGCUCGAGGACUGGAGAGGAGACUGGAAUUUACGGUGUAGCGGUGAAAUGCGUAGAUAUCGUAAGGAAGACCAGUGGCGAAGGCGGCAUCCUGGACCAACACUGACACUGAGGAGCGAAAGCCAGGGGAGCAAACGGG
rnacentral:rRNA from 1 species